AACGAACGCUGGCGGCAGGCUUAACACAUGCAAGUCGAACGAUAAGCUAUCUUCGGAUAGUGGACAGUGGCAGACGGGUGAGUAACGCGUAGCAACCUACCUAGUAGUACGGAAUAACGCUUAGAAAUGAGUGCUAAUACCGUAUACGCCCUUUUGGGGAAAGAUUUAUCGCUAUUAGAUGGGGCUGCGUUAGAUUAGCUAGUUGGUGAGGUAAGAGCUCACCAAGGCGACGAUCUAUAGCGGGUCUGAGAGGAUGAUCCGCCACACUGGGACUGAGACACGGCCCAGACUCCUACGGGAGGCAGCAGUGGGGAAUCUUGGACAAUGGGGGAAACCCUGAUCCAGCCAUGCCGCGUGAAUGAUGAAGGCCUUAGGGUUGUAAAAUUCUUUCGAUAGUGAAGAUAAUGACGGUAACUAUUAAAGAAGCCCCGGCUAACUCCG
rnacentral:rRNA from 1 species